rnacentral:piRNA from 1 species
UUGGAGAGUUUUAAUCCCAAGAAGUGUC